rnacentral:lncRNA from 1 species
GAGUCUUUCUCUAACCACCAGGACCCGGCCUGCCUGUGGACUAGAUACAUCAGGUGCGUUAAAGAAUUCUCUCUCUUAAGGAAGGGAGGGCUCUCAUCCAGCAACUGAUGGGACUGUUAUAUAAGUUCCCUCCCCACCUCGAAUGGGAUGACUCAGAGGUAUAUAUGCCUUAAGAAGUCCUAGACUUUUCUGGUGUGAUUAUACUCCAGUCAUCCAUAAUGCUAACUUGCUUGAUCACUCACCUCUCUUUGUUCCUAUCCUUCACUGCCUGUCUCUUCUAUUUCUCUCUGCAUGCUGCCUGAGAUUACCUCCUCCCACCUUCAAAAAUACACCACCCUCACUUGGAUCUUUGCCUCAAGGUCUACUGUCUACUUUCUGGAGGAAUUCAGGCUAAGACACAGAAUUACAAGUGGACUUGCUGCAGAAUAGCCUUCAAUGCACAGACCUGGCUUAGCUUUUCCUCUCUAGACUAUUUGGAAUCAAGGCAAACUUCUUGUCUGAAUGCAUGUGAAGGCAGUAAGUUAAUGAAG